GUCCCACCGCAAGCGGGACCGUUCUCUCAAGGCGUUAGCGGGGGUUCGAAUCCCCUCGGGGCU
rnacentral:tRNA from 1 species